CCUACGGGAGGCAGCAGUGAGGAAUAUUGGUCAUUGGGCGAGAGCCUGAACCAGCCAAGUCGCGUGAGGGAGUACUGCCCUAUGGGUUGUAAACCUCUUUUGUCGGGGAGCAAAAGCCGGACGUUUCCGGCUGUGAGAGUACCCGAAGAAAAAGCAUCGGCUAACUCCGUGCCAGCAGCCGCGGUAAUACGGAGGAUGCGAGCGUUAUCCGGAGUUAUUGGGUUUAAAGGGUGCGCAGGCGGAUUUUUAAGUCAGCGGUAAAAUCGUGGGGCUCAACCCCAUCCAGCCGUUGAAACUGGGGAUCUAGAGUGUGCGAGAGGUAUGCGGAAUGCGUGGUGUAGCGGUGAAAUGCAUAGAUAGCACGCAGAACCCCGAUUGCGAAGGCAGCAUACCGGUGCACAACUGACGCUCAGGCACGAAAGCGUGGGUAUCGAACAGGAUUAGAUACCCGAGUAGUC
rnacentral:rRNA from 1 species